rnacentral:rRNA from 1 species
AUUGAACGCUGGCGGCAUGCUUUACACAUGCAAGUCGAACGGCAGCAUGGGUGCUUGCACCUGAUGGCGAGUGGCGAACGGGUGAGUAAUAUAUUGGAACGUACCGAGUAGUGGGGGAUAACUAAUCGAAAGAUUAGCUAAUACCGCAUACGCUUUGAGAAGGAAAGUAGGGGAUCGCAAGACCUUACGCUAUUUGAGCGGCCAAUAUCGGAUUAGCUGGUUGGUGGGGUAAGGGCCUACCAAGGCGACGAUCCGUAGCGGGUCUGAGAGGACGAUCCGCCACAUUGGGACUGAGACACGGCCCAAACUCCUACGGGAGGCAGCAGUGGGGAAUUUUGGACAAUGGGGGCAACCCUGAUCCAGCCAUGCCGCGUGUCUGAAGAAGGCCUUCGGGUUGUAAAGGACUUUUGUUAGGGAAGAAAAGGGAUUGGUUAAUACCC